GCAAGUCGAACGCCCCUUCGGGGGAGUGGCAGACGGGUGAGUAACGCGUGGGAACCUACCCUGUGGUACGGAAUAACCGAGGGAAACUUCGGCUAAUACCGUAUACGCCCUUCGGGGGAAAGAUUUAUCGCCAUAGGAUGGGCCCGCGUCGGAUUAGCUAGUUGGUGGGGUAAUGGCCUACCAAGGCGACGAUGCGUAGCUGGUCUGAGAGGAUGAUC
rnacentral:rRNA from 1 species